rnacentral:rRNA from 1 species
UACCAGCACCCCGAGUGGUCGGGACGAUUAUUGGGCCUAAAGCAUCCGUAGCCGGUACUGCAAGUCUUCCGUUAAAUCCACCUGCUCAACAGUUGGGCUGCGGAGGAUACUACAGCGCUAGGAGGCGGGAGAGGCAAGCGGUACUCGAUGGGUAGGGGUAAAAUCCGUUGAUCCAUUGAAGACCACCAGUGGCGAAGGCGGCUUGCCAGAACGCGCUCGACGGUGAGGGAUGAAAGCUGGGGGAGCAAACCGG